rnacentral:rRNA from 1 species
CACGUAGGGGGGCGAGCGUUGUCCGGAUUUAUUGGGCGUAAAGAGCUCGUAGGCGGCUCAGUAAGUCAGGUGUGAAAACUCCAGGCUCAACCUGGAGACGCCACCUGAUACUGCUGUGGCUAGAGUCCGGUAGGGGAGCAUGGAAUUCCUGGUGUAGCGGUGAAAUGCGCAGAUAUCAGGAGGAACACCAGUGGCGAAGGCGGGUCUCUGGA